rnacentral:sRNA from 1 species
GUGUUGCCGACUGGAGAAGGAAGCUGCCCGGAUAGAGUUGGUUGAAAGUGUCAUCAUGCUCAACAUGGAGAAGAUGGAGAACGAGUACCUGGACCAGGCCAAUGAUGUCAUCAACAAGUUUGAAAGCAAAUUCCAUAACCUGUCUGUGGACCUUAUUUUCAUAGAGAAAAUCCAGCGGUUGCUGACGAAUCUGCAAGUGAAAAUCAAGUGCCAGGUGGCAAAAUCCAAUUCGCAAACAAAUGGAUUAAAUUUCUCUCUGCAACAGCUUCAGAACAAGAUAAAAACUUGUCAAGAGUCCAGGGGAGAGAAAACCGUAAGUGUUCAAUAGAUUCUGCAUGUGAAUAAUAAAGAUAUAUCAUGCUAAAGUCAUAAAUGUGAAAUAAACUUACAUGUGUGUAUAGGAUUUCUCCAGCACAAGGUUGGUGGGGUGGGGGGACAUCUCUGAGCCUUCCUACUUAACCCCUGUUUCAUGGAAUCAAGAAAGGAACAAAAGAGAAAGCAGCCACUGUUCUCCACCCCCAACCCCUCCCAGGCAAGCAUGGAGCAGCGUCUAGUGAUGGGGGAGGCCUGAGUCUGGCUUCCUCUGACCUCACUCCCUUGGGAUGUCACCAGGUGUC